rnacentral:rRNA from 1 species
UACGUAGGGUGCAAGCGUUAAUCGGAAUUACUGGGCGUAAAGCGUGCGCAGGCGGUUUUGUAAGUCUGUCGUGAAAGCCCCGGGCUCAACCUGGGAAUUGCGUUGGAGACUGCAAGGCUAGAAUCUGGCAGAGGGGGGUAGAAUUCCACGUGUAGCAGUGAAUGCGUAGAGAUGUGGAGGAACACCGAUGGCGAAGGCAGCCCCCUGGGUCAAGAUUGACGCUCAUGCACGAAAGCGUGGGGAGCAAACAGG